AGAGUUUGAUUCUGGCUCAGAACGAACGCUGGCAGCGUGGAUUAGGCAUGCAAGUCGAACGGGAAGCUGUGUGUUCAAUCUUUCGGGAGAGAACGUGCGGUGGAGAGUGGCGGAAGGGUGAGUAACGCGUGGGUAAUCUACCUCUGAGUUGGGGACAACCCGCCGAAAGGCGGGCUAAUACCGAAUACGGUCAUCUGUCACCUGGCGGAAUGACUAAAGGUGGGGAUCCUUUUGGACCUGCCGCUUGGAGAGGAGCCCGCGUGCCAUCAGCUUGUUGGUGAGGUAACGGCUCACCAAGGCUUACGGCUAGCCGGCCUGAGAGGGUGUUCGGCCACACUGGGACUGAGACACUGCCCAGACUCCUACGGGAGGCUGCAGUCGAGGAUCAUUGUCAAUGCGCGAAAGCGUGAACAUGCGACGCUGCGUGGAGGAUGACGGCCUUAGGGUUGUAAACUCCUGUCAUUCGGGAAAAACGGCCCCAACGAGAAUAUCGUUGGGGUGUGAUGGUACCGGAAGAGGAAGCCACGGCUAACUCUGUGCCAGCAGCCGCGGUAAUACAGAGGUGGCGAGCGUUGUUCGGAUUUACUGGGCGUAAAGGGUGCGUAGGUGGCAUCGUGUGUCGGAUGUGAAAUCCCAUGGCUCAACCAUGGAACUGCAUUCGAAACUGCGGAGCUAGAGUGCAAGAGGGGAGAGCGGAAUUCUUGGUGUAGCGGUGAAAUGCGUUGAUAUCAAGAAGAACACCGGUGGCGAAGGCGGCUCUCUGGAAUGUUACUGACACUGAGGCACGAAAGCUGGGGGAGCAAACAGGAUUAGAUACCCUGGUGGUCCCAGCCGUAAACGGUGUGCACUUGGUGUGGGGGGUAUUGAUCCCCUCCGUGCCGGAGCUAACGCGUUAAGUGCACCGCCUGGGGAGUACGGCCGCAAGGCUAAAACUCAAGAAAUUGACGGGGGCCCGCACAAGCGGAGGAGCAUGUGGCUUAAUUCGAUGCAACGCGAAGAACCUUACCAGGGCUUGACAUGCAGCUGCAUUCUCCUUGAAAGGGGAGAAGCCUUCGAGGGUGCUGCACAGGUGCUGCAUGGCUGUCGUCAGUUCGUGCCGUGAGGUGUUGGGUUAAGUCCCGCAACGAACGCAACCCCUGUGGCUAGUUGCCACCACCGGUGAUGAGCCGGUGAGCACUCUAGCCAGACUGCCUGUACAAGCAGGAGGAAGGUGGGGACGACGUCAAGUCAGUAU
rnacentral:rRNA from 1 species